rnacentral:rRNA from 1 species
UACAGAGGGUGCAAGCGUUGUCCGGAAUCACUGGGCGUAAAGGGCGCGUAGGUGGCCUGAUAAGUAGGAGGUGAAAUCCUGGGGCUUAACCUCAGGGCUGCCUUCUAGACUGUCCGGCUCGAGCACAGUAGAGGCAGGUGGAAUUCCGGUGUAGCGGUGGAAUGCGUAGAGAUCGGGAAGAACAUCGGUGGCGAAGGCGGCCGACUGGG